CAGUCUCCUACGGGAGGCAGCAGUGGGGAAUAUUGGACAAUGGGGGGAACCCUGAUCCAGCCAUGCCGCGUGUGUGAAGAAGGCCUUUUGGUUGUAAAGCACUUUAAGUGGGGAGGAGGCUUACCUGGUUAAUACCUGGGCUAAGUGGACGUUACCCACAGAAUAAGCACCGGCUAACUCUGUGCCAGCAGCCGCGGUAAUACAGAGGGUGCGAGCGUUAAUCGGAUUUACUGGGCGUAAAGCGCGCGUAGGUGGUUAAUUAAGUCAAAUGUGAAAUGCCCAAGCUUAACUGGGGACGUGCAUUCGAUA
rnacentral:rRNA from 1 species